rnacentral:rRNA from 1 species
UGCUCCUCUGAUCUCUACUCAUGGCCCUCUCUUUGUAACGGUUUGAUCUUGCUCUCUAUUCCAAUCUCCCAUCUUUUUUUACCAUCCUAUCAAUCUCGUAUUCUCACCAUUAUCGAGAGCUUCAAGGAGGCUAUUUUUGAUAAGCAGAAUUAGCAAUAGGGAAUGAAUCGAAAGUCAAGUUAUUGUGCUCAAUUGCGCACUAAUCUAGAAUCCACAAAGGGUGUUGUUCAAUUAAGAUAACAAGACAGUGAUCAUGAAAGUCGAAAUCUGCUAAGGAGUAUGUAACAACUCACCUACUAAAUCAAUUAGCCCUGAAAAUGAAUAACGCUUAAGCGUGCGACUUAUAUUCAGCUGUUGGAGCAAGAACCAGGCUCCAAUGAGUAGGGGCCCUGAUGAUAGCUGCAAAACCAAAGGUGCGAGCUCGACGGAGCUAUCAUUGGUG